rnacentral:rRNA from 1 species
GGAGGUAGUGACAAUAAAUCACAAUGCGGGACUAUCAGUCUUGCAAUUGGAUUGAGAACAAUGUACAACUCUUAUCGAUAAGCCAUUGGAGGGCAAGUCUGGUGCCAGCAGCCGCGGUAAUUCCAGCUCCAAUAGCGUAUAUUAACGUUGUUGCAGUUAAAAAGCUCGUAGUUGAAGUGUGGGUGGUGCUGUCUGAAUGACUUCGGUUAGUCAGAUGAUCACUACCCCCUUCCAGUAUCCAGUAGUGGGUAUUCAGUUACUUACUAUUGUGUGUUGGUCCUUUACUGUGAGAAAACUAGAGUGUUCAAAGCAGGCAUUUGCUUGAAUAGAUUAGCAUGGAAUAAUAAUUGAAGGCUUUCGUGUUCGAUUUGAUUGGUUUGUUCAUGGAAGCAAGGUUAAAAGGAACAGUUGGGGGUAUUCAUAUUCACUAGUUAGAGGUGAAAUUCUCGGAUUUAUGGAAGAUGAACAAGUGCGAAAGCA